UACGGGGGGGGCAAGCGUUGUUCGGAAUUACUGGGCGUAAAGGGCUCGUAGGCGGCCAACUAAGUCGGAUGUGAAAUCCCCAGGCUCAACCUGGGAACUGCAUCCGAUACUGGAUGGCUUGAAUUCGGGAGAGGGAUGCAGAAUUCCAGGUGUAGCGGUGAAAUGCGUAGAUAUGCGGAGGAACACCGAUGGCGAAGGCAAUCCCCUGGGCCUGCACUGACGCUCAUGCACGAAAGCGUGGGGAGCAAACAGG
rnacentral:rRNA from 1 species